rnacentral:rRNA from 1 species
UACGUAGGGUGCGAGCGUUGUCCGGAAUUAUUGGGCGUAAAGAGCUCGUAGGCGGUCUGUCGCGUCUGCUGUGAAAACCCGAGGCUCAACCUCGGGCCUGCAGUGGGUACGGGCAGACUAGAGUGCGGUAGGGGAGAAUGGAAUUCCUGGUGUAGCGGUGGAAUGCGCAGAUAUCAGGAGGAACACCGGUGGCGAAGGCGGAUCUCUGGGCCGAUACUGACGCUGAGGUGCGAAAGCGUGGGGAGCAAACAGG